rnacentral:rRNA from 1 species
GGAGUUAGCCGGUGCUUCUUCUGCGAGUAACGUCACAGAUGUAAGGUAUUAACUUACACCCUUUCCUCCUCGCUGAAAGUGCUUUACAACCCGAAGGCCUUCUUCACACACGCGGCAUGGCUGCAUCAGGGUUUCCCCCAUUGUGCAAUAUUCCCCACUGCUGCCUCCCGUAGGAGUCUGGGCCGUGUCUCAGUCCCAGUGUGGCUGAUCAUCCUCUCAGACCAGCUAGGGAUCGUCGCCUAGGUGAGCCUUUACCUCACCUACUAGCUAAUCCCACCUGGGCUUAUCCAUCAGCGCAAGGCCCGAAGGUCCCCUGCUUUCCCCCGUAGGGCGUAUGCGGUAUUAGCAGUCGUUUCCAACUGUUAUCCCCCACAAAUGGGCAAAUUCCCAGGCAUUACUCACCCGUCCGCCGCUCGUCAUCUUCAAAAGCAAGCUUUUGAAAUGUUACCGCUCGACUUGCAUGUGUUAGGCCUGCCGCCAGCGUUCAAUCUGAGCCAGUNACACACUNAGAGAGCGGCGCGCGACGACGC